rnacentral:rRNA from 1 species
UACGGGGGGGGCAAGCGUUGUUCGGAAUUACUGGGCGUAAAGGGCUCGUAGGCGGCCAACUAAGUCGGACGUGAAAUCCCUCGGCUCAACCGGGGAACUGCGUCCGAUACUGGAUGGCUUGAGUUCGGGAGAGGGAUGCGGAAUUCCAGGUGUAGCGGUGAAAUGCGUAGAUAUCUGGAGGAACACCGGUGGCGAAGGCGGCGUUCUGGACUGCAACUGACACUGAAAAACGAAAGCCAGGGGAGCAAAGCGGGAAUUAAGAAACCCGGAGUACAG